CGCUCCGUCAUUUGGGGAGUAGUCUGCUUCCGUCCCCGGAAGCGCCCGCGUCAACAUUCUCGGCACCUUCUUGUGCCGUGGCGCCGGCAGCCGUUUUCGGCCUGACGAGACCAUUGACAUACCAGCGCAAUGAGGUCGGGCGCGUCUGGCAUGUCAUGGAAUCGUCGCCCGGC
rnacentral:sRNA from 2 species